AGACAGUAGGCUUAGAACCAAAAGAUGUUUUUCUCCUUUUGCUUAAGGAGACCAUUGUUUAUUAUUUCGUUGUUUAUUCCUCUGGUGGAAGAUAUCAUCUUUUCUAACAGUAUUUUGUUCUUCCUGGUUUCCAAGUCCUUUUCUUUUACAGUCUUGACAAAAUUUUCACAGGGGAAUGAAUUCAAGAUGUGUACUUAGGCUUCAUACUAAACAUGUAAGGCUCAAGUUAUACACGCUACAUUGGUUCAAAGUAAAUUGUACUACAGAUAUACAGUGUGCAGAUAAACGUGUUUUGUCUGCCUAACCUGCUACUUUGGCUAAUGCACCGCUAUCUCAGAUCGUUUGAAUUAACUAGUCUGCUGGCAAGUACUGACAAAGGUAUUGGUUUAAAAACAAAACAAAACAAAAAACCCACAACUACACAGAUGUGAUUUCAGUUUUGUUAGUUUUAUUACGUGUUGUUUUAAUUAGCAAAUUGCAAACAGUGACUUCAGUCGUGUUCUGAAUAUUUCUCCAGUUGUAAUACUAACAGAAGUUUAUUUGGUCAGAUUUGGUCAUGGAUUUCUUCUUAAAUUUGUCUCAAAACAGAUUCAGUGCUUCAGUUCUUAACAGCUCACAGAACACCUCAGUUGUAACUGGUCUUCAUGCAAAUGGCUGCCAUCUUCAACAAAGCCCAGUUCAUUGUUCCAAGCCCCAUGGGAGAGUUGUUGAACUUUGUAAAACUGGGAGUCUUUCAACAUAUGUCAUUAAUGAAGGGAGUUGGGUAACCGGUCUCACCAUCGUUUGUAAUUCAGCCUAUGACAGGCAGCAGGAAAGCAGAAAAGCUUCAGCCAGCUCCAAUUAGGAAAACAUGCCCAAGGCCCAGGCUAUAGUAUAAACAGAGGUAUGUCAGGCUCCUCCCUAAAAGGAAACCAAAGAGUACACUGGGCUUUGAUGCUUCGCUUUUGGGCUGAACAAGAAACCUGUUGAACAAAACAAAGUAAUUUUGAUAUUGGUCUGGCUAACGGCAAGGAUAAAAAGGCAUUCCAAAUGAA
rnacentral:lncRNA from 1 species